UCAUAGAAUUUCUUUAAAUUCAUGAUGUCGUAAGGGAAAAUAAUGAUAAUACCUUACUAUGAGUGUCGUCCAAAUCUGGUGCCAGAAGACUCGGUAAGACCAGAGACGCAAACGUUAAUCAUCAUAAACAGGCGUAAAGGGUUUGUAGGCAGCUUUUAUAAAAUUCAUUGUAAUUUAAUUGAAAGCUAGAAUCAAAAAGAGGUUAUAGUGUAUAACGCCUAGAGGAGGGCUGAUAUCCAUAGAUCCUAGGCAGAAUACUUAGGGCGAAGGCCACUCUCCACUAAUGAUUGACGCUGAGAAACGAAGGUUAGGGUAGGAAAUAGGAUUAGAUACCCCGGUACUCCUUUCUGUAAACGAUGAAUGGUAGUCAUUAGUUAAAUUAAAAUAACUAGAGGCGAAGUUAACACAAUAACCAUUCCGCCUUGUGAGUACUACUGCAAAGUAGAAAACAAAAAAAUUAGUCGGUCUCGAAGCAAACGGAGUGAAGCAUGUUAUUUA
rnacentral:rRNA from 2 species